UACAUGCAGUCGAACGAGUUCUCGUUGAUGAUCGGUGCUUGCACCGAGAUUCAACAUGGAACGAGUGGCGGACGGGUGAGUAACACGUGGGUAACCUGCCCUUAAGUGGGGGAUAACAUUUGGAAACAGAUGCUAAUACCGCAUAGAUCCAAGAACCGCAUGGUUCUUGGCUGAAAGAUGGCGUAAGCUAUCGCUUUUGGAUGGACCCGCGGCGUAUUAGCUAGUUGGUGAGGUAAUGGCUCACCAAGGCGAUGAUACGUAGCCGAACUGAGAGGUUGAUCGGCCACAUUGGGACUGAGACACGGCCCAAACUCCUACGGGAGGCAGCAGUAGGGAAUCUUCCACAAUGGACGCAAGUCUGAUGGAGCAACGCCGCGUGAGUGAAGAAGGCUUUCGGGUCGUAAAACUCUGUUGUUGGAGAAGAAUGGUCGGCAGAGUAACUGUUGUCGGCGUGACGGUAUCCAACCAGAAAGCCACGGCUAACUACGUGCCAGCAGCCGCGGUAAUACGUAGGUGGCAAGCGUUAUCCGGAUUUAUUGGGCGUAAAGCGAGCGCAGGCGGUUUUUUAAGUCUGAUGUGAAAGCCCUCGGCUUAACCGAGGAAGCGCAUCGGAAACUGGGAAACUUGAGUGCAGAAGAGGACAGUGGAACUCCAUGUGUAGCGGUGAAAUGCGUAGAUAUAUGGAAG
rnacentral:rRNA from 1 species